UAAUCGAAAGGUGGUGUGUGCCAAUUAGUCCCAUUUAAAUUUAUUUGAGAUCUAACAAGUACUUUUCGAGCUAUAUCUAAUAAUGCGUUUUUACUUGACGCUUUUUUCGUCGACCUGCGUUUAUUAUACCGCAUAACUUUCUACUGGAUGUACCGAUUUGAAUAAUUCUUUUUUUGUUAGAAAGGGGAUAUACCUAGUUUAGUACCAUGAUAUGAAAACCAGGAUCUGAUGAUGGGAUCCCAGAGAAAUCAAGGGAAACUCUUGAAAAUCCGCAAUAACUUUUUACUGGGUGUACCGAUUUUGAUAAUUCUUUUUUUUUUGUUGGAAAGGGGAUAUCCCUAGUUUGGAUCUGAUGAUGGGAUCCCAGAGAAAUCGAGGGAAACUCUUGAAAAUCCGCAAUAACUUUUUACUGGGUAUACCGAUUUUGAUAAUUUUUAAUUUAAUCGAAAGCUGAUGUUUGUCAUGUGGUCACAUAUAAAUUUUAUUGAGAUCCGAUAACUACUUU
rnacentral:misc_RNA from 1 species